rnacentral:lncRNA from 1 species
CCUGCCUCCUCCCCCAGGCACCUCCUCUGGAAAAGCAACAUCAUGGCUGCUGGGCUGUUGGAAAAGGAGCUGGAGGUGGUGGGAGGCUCAGACGAGCUCCCUGAGGGAGACACAGUGUCUGAAUCUGUUACAAUGACCAGAGUUGGGUUUCAGCAGGGAGUGAGGGAGGCCAAGUUCACCGGCAGAAGAAAAAUCUGCAAGUAACUCUCCUUGUAAACCCCAGCCAAGAUUCCUGCCAAACGAAAUGAGAACAGACCACGCUCUCACGCACCCACCUUCACAAAGAACCAACUCAACUGCAAAAGGAAAAAAUGCUAAUAAAGUUAAUAUCUCCUUCCA